rnacentral:rRNA from 1 species
AGUGAACGCUGGCGGUAGGCCUAACACAUGCGAGUCGAACGGCAGCACAGUAAGAGCUUGCUCUUACGGGUGGCGAGUGGCGGACGGGUGAGGAAUACAUCGGAAUCUACUUUUUCGUGGGGGAUAACGUAGGGAAACUUACGCUAAUACCGCAUACGACCUACGGGUGAAAGCAGGGGAUCUUCGGACCUUGCGCGAUUGAAUGAGCCGAUGUCGGAUUAGCUAGUUGGCGGGGUAAAGGCCCACCAAGGCGACGAUCCGUAGCUGGUCUGAGAGGAUGAUCAGCCACACUGGAACUGAGACACGGUCCAGACUCCUACGGGAGGCAGCAGUGGGGAAUAUUGGACAAUGGGCGCAAGCCUGAUCCAGCCGUACCGCGUGGGUGAAGAAGGCCUUCGGGUUGUAAAGCCCUUUUGUUGGGAAAGAAAAGCAGCAGGUUAAUACCCCGCUGUUCUGACGGUACCCAAAGAAUAAGCACCGGCUAACUUCG